AAAAAAAAUAAAAAUUGUGAUUAGGUCGGCGUGUAAACUAUUUUGUUGAACGAGUGUGAUUAUACUUUCUAAAUUUUGCUUCCAUCAUCGCAAAACAUCAAAGGGAUCAAAAUUUAUUAUAGUGCAAUAUAAUAUUGCUACAGCGAAGAUAUUUCACGCGAUUCAUUUAAGUGAAAAAGCCUAUAUUUCUUCGAAUCCUUUUUGGACCAUCUCUAUAAACGCAUUUGCGGAAGUUUUCUUUGUCAAUCGUAAGAAAGAACUUUAACGAUCGAAUGACUCAUAAUUGCACUCAUUGAGAAUUGGAACGCGCAUUUACGGUUUGUGACGUGUCGCUAGAAGUUCUUUAGCUUUAACGCAAUCUAAUCGUGAUCAUGAUAAAUGGAACAUCAAGUCCCUAGGGAAGUUUCCCAGCUGAGAAACUGACGACGGUCAACAAACGGAUCGAGAGCACUCGACGGGGCAAGACGUGGGGAGCUGUCUCGAAGUCGAUGCCGGGAGCAUCGAGAAAGAAGGAAGUGCGCUCGCGAGAGAUUUCUGCAGAGCGCAGAUUCCGGGCAACUUUCUCGACAAGUACGCGACGUUCACAGACAGCUCCCCGCUGGCUGUGUUCGGUCAUUGAUCACCGCUACUCUGCGUCUCUACCACGUUUACUGUGUCCACGUGCACCAUUAGCACGCGCGCGAUAGAAAUACAAGGCUGCUUCACUUAACUCGAUAAAGGAGCGUGAGAAUUUUCAGGGCGUCGGAUUAACACGACGGCAACGAACUCUUUAAACAAUUUGCGGAGCAAUAAUUACAUAUGUACAGAGAUAUGUUCUAAAAAUGAUAUUAUAUAAUGUAAUAUUUAUUAUAAUAACAAAAAUAAUGUACUUAUAAUAAAUUUUAUUUGAAUAUAUAGUUUGCCAAAAACAUAAAUUAUAAUCGUAUAUACAGACUGCUUGAAGAAUCAGAUUACCGCAAUAAUAUUACUUUAUACAAUCGCAUCCAGCUCGACAUAAUAAGACAACAGAGACUUUUCUUUUUUCCUUCUCUCGCGUGUUUAAUUGCUUUAUUCUAAAAUUGAAACAAACUGUUCAACCGAGAAUAUUGUAAUAUAACAUUAUCGCUAACCUCGAUAUUCCGCCGCAAGUGCAAUAGAAAUUGUUUACAUGCGCAUCGGGGAAUUCUCCGGAUUACUGCAUUAUUAUUGGAUCGUUUCUCGCAGUUAUUCGCGGCCUCGUAUGCAAACGAAGAAAGAACGAAUGACACGUGCACAUUAUCGCCGGAGAUAACGAAUUACAACAAAUUCAGCGGAGCGUACUGUUUGCUCUCUUAAUUACCAUACACAUUCGCUUACGUCCGCUUUGGCACGACCGCGUGUAUGUCGUCCGCGAUCUUUCUUCAUCAUUAAAUGUCAAAUAUUGAAUCAGCCGAGUCAAACGAGGAUAUUCGUGAAUGGGACCGACCAUCGGGAAAAUUAAAUCGCCACGCGCCACGACCCCAUGACAAAUUCAGGUACAUUCAGGUACAUCAACGCAGGUGUACGAAUUCGGCUUCCCAGGUGGAACAAUAAAGAUCAUUACGCGUAAAAAUAAUUAGUACUUCUGUCAAAAAAGUAUUCUCUCCGAGAGAUUUUUCAAAUUUCAUACGUGGUUUCUUGCGAUCGGGCAACACUUCAUACAUUCUUCAAUGUUAUUGUUAUUAAUCAAUUAUCGACAUUUUGCGAUAUUGUAAAAAAAAAAUGUCCAAGAAACAACUUUGUUGGAAAAACAGAAUUUAGAAUUUAAAUUUAAAAAUAAAACUCUAUAAAAAUCCCCCUUUUUCUCCUCAAUAAAAUCCCAUAAACACUCAUAAUUUUCAAAGAUAAAAAAAUUUCCUGAAAAUUUCAGGUUUUCCUAAUUUUUCAAUAAACACCCUGUUUGACUGUGCCUUCCUGUCCUCCGUCUAAGCGUAUCGAUCACAGUCAAGCAUUCUAAAACGCAAGACUGCAAUUCUAAUCACGACUGUUUCAUGCGUUCUACAUCUACCUUACGCGUAUAAAAUCAUUUCUACGUGCAACGGCCUUAAUUCCGCCCGCUGGAAUCGCGAAGCGGCCAAGCGGUUACCCGAGGUUGGGCGCCGUCGCGUCGUCAACGGGACGGCGUUUAAUUUUAACACCCGCGAAAUGAAUCAUCGCGGUAUAAUUCGAAAUGGCAGCGAAAUCGCGCGCGAACAUCACGUCGCGGCGAUUCGCGGCGAGGGAAGGGAAGGGGAAGGGAUCGCGAUUGCGCGUGCCCGACAUUACUAAAUUUAAUGUCCCGGCCCGCCGAUUCCGCGCGUUUAUAGCUUGUCAGUUAUAUAUUUUAUAUACACGUGGAACAUUCCGCGGAGGUCCCUUCCGGAUUUCGCGCGGUCCCAUCGCCUCUUCCUUCGAAUGGAAAUAUCGCGGAAAUUACCGCGGAUUCGCCGCACCGAUCUCCGGCUCUCUCGACGCGCCUCGAACGACGAACCGCGCGAGCGGAAUUUCCGCCUUGCUACGUGAAUUCGAUGGCGAGUCUUUUUUUUCCCCUCUCUUUUAACGCGUUCACGAGGCGGAAAACGCGGUCCGCCGGACGUCGUUGUCGGAGGUUGAAAAAAUUGAAGCGUGAACGCGGCUAUCGUCGAUCGACACACCGAUGCCAACGAUCGAUAGGAUCGAACGCGUGCACAAAAGCCUCGAUCGCGAGGCGAGCAAAUGCAGGCGAACGCCGUAAAAUUUGCGUUCGUCGAUAUCGAUGGGGACAUGCGCGCAAGGAGGGAAUUAGAAAGUCCUCCCGCGAUUUUCAACGUGUCUCUUUCUCUCUUCUCUCUCUCUCGCGGGCGGACGCAUGAGAGAUUGCAUCUGGGUGGACCACCUUAAGGAGUCGAUUUUACGAGAGCGCGGCGGACCUUUUCUCUUUCUCGUGACCGACUUCGGACGUAUUGUUCGUUCGUCGCGUGCGCGCAAAGGAGAGAGAAAGAUCCGUUCCACAGCAAACAAUACAUAACGCCUCAAAAUGCGAGUCCGCGGGAGAAAGUAUUGGAUUGCAUUUAAAAUAAGACAUUGAGUAUUAAAGGGUGAAAUUUAAACCUAAUCCUGGAGCUAAGUCUUGUUAUCUUUUAACUUUCGCGGGUGUCGAAAUUUAGUAUUUUAGGACAAAACAUAAUUUUUAAAAAAAUCUCAAAUCUAUUCUUGUGAAUCAAUUGCUUAGCAAUUUCAAAGUGAGUAGUGUUGAUAUUAACGUAUGCAGCUAUAACUUAAUAAAUGUGAUAGUUUGUUUACUAUAGUAAGUACAUUUUAUUAUAAUAAACUAGCAUACAUUUUAUUAUAAUAAACAAAUCGCAGUUAAUACAUUUUUAUAAUUAAAUGGUUUACCUUUAUUGCUUUAUUUAAAUUAAUAAUUACGAAGAAAAUUUUAAAGAUAAGAUCCUCAGUAAAAGAAAAAAGUAAAUUGAAUAUCGCUUCUCUUAGCAAUAGAAUUGACAUUUCUGCUAUUAAACAGAAGUGCAUGUCUAAGGAGCCGCCUGCAUCUUUCGCCGCGAGCGAGCGAAUCGAGCUUCGAAAGUCCUGAUUGCAUCUUCAAUGAAUAAUCUUUCAAGGUAAAGGAGGAAUCAUCCAUCGAUCCUCGCUCGUGUACCACGCGGUCUCAGCUAGCCUCGAGUAUUCCAUUCGGUGAACGCGGUGAACGUUGUCUCGAGAACGGGGAAUUAACGAGACCUCGUGACGGCCCGCGGCGAGAUGCAACGCGCUGCAACGCUGCUGCUGCUGCUGCACUUCACAGUGGCGGUGGCGGCGGUGGCGUCUCGUUGUUGGCAGCAAUGAGAAUCCGCGGCGACCUACUUGGCGUACCUCGACCCCCUCGCGCAUCGAUUCGAACCGAAAUUAUUCCCGACCGAUUAUUGUUCUGACCGUCAGAGCCCCCUCUCCCCCCUCUGAUAGAGAUGCGCUUCUCUCUUUCUCUCUCUCUCUCCCUUCCAAAAUAAAAAUCCAACGUAUUUUUAAAUCAGCAUAGGAAUCAACGUCCCGAUAACGUAACUCUCGUACAGCGCUGACAAAUUUUCAGGGAAAAAAAGAAAUGUAUUCUUAUCCUCGUAGAUCAAAUUAAAUUAUUUUAAAUGUAUGUUUGAAAUGUAUAUAAAAUAUACUUUUUUUUUUAGAAUAGAAAGGCUCGAAACGGAUUAGCCAUUGGACGACGCCGCGGCGUACUUGUCGGGGAGGAAGAAUCAAGCUCCUCUUUCGGAAAGCGAGCGCGUCGGCAUUCGAGCGAGGCACCGCAUGCAGGCAGGCAGGCAGGCAGUCAGACGCAUUUCUGCAAUGUGAAUUUUCUUCAGGCGCGGCGAACGACAGCGCGCGGCGAAGGAGCGUGCGCCUAUUACGCAUUUAUCUGCUUGGAAACAAUGACCUCAUCGUGUCGAGCGCCUACUAUGAAUUAUUUACGAUCACGCGUGGAAACCCCUUUGUUUCCGAGGUGCGCGUGCGAUGAUGUACGUAGAUUUACGCGUUACACCGAUAUGCGCUUAAAGAGACAAUAAAACGAUCCCUCCCUCGGCCUGGCGAUUACAAAGGCAAUGGCUUUGACAUCGCCGUCAAGCGGAAACCUUGUAAAUCUUUCGAUCGCAUUAAAAAACGGAGGCGCUGUGAUUAAAUCUCUGGAUUACAACGUAAUCUUUCAUUCCGACAAUCAACCAACAAUUUUUUUUUUUUAACUUUUAUCAAUAGUAUUAAUUUUAUUAUUAACGUGCAAUUAUUUUCUCUAUUUUGUAGAAGGAUAAUGUUCGUUUGUAUAAAUGUCCUUUAUCCUUUUUCUAGAAAUUAAAGUACGCUGAACCGAGAUCGAAGUUGAGCCGCAACAGCGGAAGUGUACGUAAGGAGCGGCAAAUAUCGCGGCGGAAACUUCAUCGCGAACAAUUCCGCCGAUUAAAGUUGAUCGGAGUUUGGCCGCGAGGUCGCCUUGAGAACUUAAGUGGAUCGCAUCUCCUUGUACGCCCGCGGCGCCAUCAAUCGCUCGUUCGCUCGCUCGCUCGUUCGUUCGUUCGUUCGUUCGUCGUCGUCGUCGUCGUUUACAACGUGCAGGUCGCGCACGACGCACCACGCUUCCGCUGACCCCUUCGGGCCCGCUGCUACUCGCUCUCCCGACCGACGGUCGACGUUACAGGAAAACGAUGUCGGUCGCGCGCGCGUGCGCGACUCCGCGGCACUCGUGCAUUCUGUCACCGUGUUAGCCAGCCCGAUCGUAAGGGGCCGACGACAACGACGACAACGACGACGACGACGACGUAACCGACAACACUGACACGCAAUCACGGACGCAGGACCGGACGUUUACGCAGGACCGACCUCUUCUUCGCGAAUCACCUAAAACUCUUAUAAGAUUAGGAUUAUCUCGAAUACGGAAAAUGGAAUCUCAAGGCCGUAAGAACUGACGUCAAAUCUUGACUAUAAGAUUUGACUGCAAAUGCUGUUCUCUUAAUCUCCCUCUCGAGGAGUCAGUCCGGCGAUUCCUUUUGCUCUUGUAACGUAUAUACGAAUAAAAACGGAGAGUGGGUCGUUAUGUUUUUGGAUCUAAACGUUGCUACGCUUGGUUUAGAACUAAACUUUUCAAUUCAAUUAAAUUUCUUCAGUAAUUCAGUUCAGGUAUUUGUGUAUUUAAGAUAAAUAAUUUCAAAUUAAUAAUUUUUCUCGCUGCAAUAUUAGAAUGUUCAUAGAUGUAGAAAUAGACGGACACGAGAAGAAUAAAUAAAUUCGGAGUGAACACGUCGAUUAUCAAAAAUCGUGCGAAGCGAGCGCGAGGCGAAUCUCAUCUGGGGGUAUACGAAAACGUUUAAAUCCGCUCCUGCAUGUGCUCACAGGACGAGAGAGGGGAGGGAGAGAAGAGGAGAGGAGAAAGAGGGCAGCGGGCAAUGUAAACCAAUGACAGACCCAGGGGCGAGCGUCGUUAAGGAUGCGGCACUGGAGGAGCACCUACACUUCGCUGGCUGGAAGAAUGGGACUACUCGCGGAACGGAAUAUCCGGUUACGCGAAUACGCUUUCUCGAAUUAUAAGUUUUUUGAAUUUACAUCGAGAGCGUCGAGAAAGUGAUAGCCUCGCGUUCUAUACCCGAGAUAAACCUUGUGCUCAUCGCAGUUUCAAACUUUAUUUAAUUCAGUUAAGAUGUGCUUCUAAUAGUCUUUAUUACCCCCUCCCUCCCACCCUUCCGCACAUCAUAAUUGAAGCAGAUAAUUUAGCCGUAGAUGACUUUACGUCUCAUAUUCUCCAGUCAGAUUCAAACGGAUUCGAGUGCAACUCGAUUAACAAUUUUACUUCGUCUAAUAUUAAUUAUGGACUUGUACAAUAACAAAAAUUAAUUCUUUUUCCCGUCCCCUCCUUUGCUGGAGUAAUUCCUGAUAGCUCAUUUCCCUCUUUUUUUCCCCGAA